GAUAAGUAGAGGUGAAGGGGCGGGGGAAGACGUCAGGUUCAAGCGUUACUCGGGAGUACUGGGCGUAAAGCGUGUGUAGGCGGGUCGGAAAGAAAGAUGUGAAAUCCCAGGGCGCAACCUCGGAACAGCAUUUUGAACUGCCGAGCUAGAGGUUGUCAGAGGGGGGUAGAAUUCCACGUGUAGCAGUGAAAUGCGUAGAUAUGUGGAGGAAUACCGAUGGCGAAGGCAGCCCCCUGGGAUAAUACUGACGCUCAGACACGAAAGCGUGGGGAGCAAACAGGAUUAGAUACCCCUGUAGUC
rnacentral:rRNA from 1 species